GUGUGCAUAUCCAAAAAGCGGAGGAAAAGAAACCAACCGGGAUUGCCUUAGUAACGGCGAGUGAAGCGGCAAAAGCUCAAAUUUGAAAUCUGGCGUCUUCGACGUCCGAGUUGUAAUUUGAAGAAGGCGACUUUGUAGCUGGUCCUUGUCUAUGUUCCUUGGAACAGGACGUCAUAGAGGGUGAGAAUCCCGUGUGGCGAGGAUCCCAGUUAUUUGUAAAGUGCUUUCGACGAGUCGAGUUGUUUGGGAAUGCAGCUCUAAGUGGGUGGUAAAUUCCAUCUAAAGCUAAAUAUUGGCGAGAGACCGAUAGCGAACAAGUACAGUGAUGGAAAGAUGAAAAGAACUUUGAAAAGAGAGUGAAAAAGUACGUGAAAUUGUUGAAAGGGAAGGGCAUUUGAUCAGACAUGGCGUUUGCUUCGGCUUUCGCUGGGCCAGCAUCAGUUUUAGCGGUUGGAUAAAUCCUCGGGAAUGUGGCUCUGCUUCGGUAGAGUGUUAUAGCCCGUGGGAAUACAGCCAGCUGGGACUGAGGAUUGCGACUUUUGUCAAGGAUGCUGGCGUAAUGGUUAAAUGCCGCCCGUCUUGAACACCGGACCA
rnacentral:rRNA from 1 species